rnacentral:lncRNA from 1 species
UCUGUUAUUGUCACUGAGCAAAGUAUCGCCAGUGCUCCUGAAAAAUGGACCUCAUGCCAAGUUGUAUUUCCUCAUCAUCAGUCAUGGUUGUGCUGCCUGCACUGAAUUUCCAAAAUCUAUUAUUCACUUAAGAAUAGGAUUUGGGGAAGCAGAUAUCCAAUGUUUUGCAAAAGUAAAUGCAUUUUCUUUCCCCCCUAGGAAGGAAGUACAGACUCUACGGCUCAGCAGAUCUCUAACACUAAGAUUGGGCGGUGAGUUCUAUUCUCUAGGAGGAUUUGAUCAGAUACUUCAGCUGCAUCAGGAAUCCUUUGCUAUGGGCCACAGCAGGCAAGAGGAUAAACUAAAAGGUAUCCUUCCAGUGUUACAAACGCUCCGAUUGUAUUGCUCUUUUAACUUCGAAUAGAGG